GCUGUGAUGACUUUUUUGGCACUGAUCAUCUGAAAUGAUAGUGCUUUCAUGUCCUCUAAGAAGUUCUGAGCUU
rnacentral:snoRNA from 1 species